CCUACGGGUGGCAGCAGUAGGGAAUCUUCCACAAUGGACGAAAGUCUGAUGGAGCAACGCCGCGUGAGUUCCUCCGGGUUUCGGCUCGUCCCUCUCUUUUGUUAGUGAAGAAAGAUAGAGGUAGUAACUGGCCUUUAUUUGACGGUAAUUACUUAGAAAGUCACGGCUAACUACGUGCCAGCAGCCGCGGUAAUACGUAGGUGGCAAGCGUUGUCCGGAUUUAUUGGGCGUAAAGCGAGUGCAGGCGGUUCAAUAAGUCUGAUGUGAAAGCCUUCGGCUCAACCGGAGAAUUGCAUCAGAAACUGUUGAACUUGAGUGCAGAAGAGGAGAGUGGAACUCCAUGUGUAGCGGUGGAAUGCGUAGAUAUAUGGAAGAACACCAGUGGCGAAGGCGGCUCUCUGGUCUGCAACUGACGCUGAGGCUCGAAAGCAUGGGUAGCGAACAGGAUUAGAUACCCGAGUAGUC
rnacentral:rRNA from 1 species